rnacentral:rRNA from 1 species
ACGUAGGUCACAAGCGUUGUCCGGAAUUACUGGGUGUAAAGGGAGCGCAGGCGGGUAUGCAAGUUGGAAGUGAAAUACAUGGGCUCAACCCAUGAACUGCUUUCAAAACUGUGUAUCUUGAGUAGUGCAGAGGUAGGCGGAAUUCCCGGUGUAGCGGUGGAAUGCGUAGAUAUCGGGAGGAACACCAGUGGCGAAGGCGGCCUACUGGGCACCAACUGACGCUGAGGCUCGAAAGUGUGGGUAGCAAACAGG